AUACGUAGGGGGCAAGCGUUGUCCGGAAUCACUGGGCGUAAAGGGCGCGUAGGCGGUAUAUUAAGUCAGGUGUGAAAGUUUUCGGCUCAACCGGAAAAGUGCACUUGAAACUAAUUUACUUGAGUACUGGAGAGGUAAGCGGAAUUCCUAGUGUAGCGGUGAAAUGCGUAGAUAUUAGGAAGAACACCGGUGGCGAAGGCGGCUUACUGGACAGAGACUGACGCUGAGGCGCGAAAGCGUGGGGAGC
rnacentral:rRNA from 1 species